rnacentral:rRNA from 1 species
GACGAACGCUGGCGGCGUGCUUAACACAUGCAAGUCGAACGGAAAGGCCCGGCGUUUGUGGGGUUCUCGAUUGGCGAACGGGUGAGUAACACGUGAGUAACCUGCCCUUGACUUUGUGAUAACUUCUGGAAACUGGGGCUAAUACCGGAUAUGAUCUCCUGCUCCGUGUGGGUGGUUGGAAAGUGUCGGCGGUUGGGGAUGGACUCGCUGCUUAUCAGCUUGUUGGUGGGGUAGUGGCGUACCAAGGCUGUGACGGGUAGCCGGCGUGAGAGGGUGACCGGCCACCAUGGGACUGAGAGAGGGAGCAGAAUCGUACGGGCGGCAGCAGUGGGGAACAUUGCACAGUGGGGGGAAGCGUGAUGCAGCAACCCCGCGUGCGGGAUGCCGGGUUUCGGGGUGUAAACAGAUUUCGAAGGUGACGAAGAGUGCGUGACGGUAAUGAGUAAAGAAGCAACGGCUAACUACGUG